GGCAGCAGUAGGGAAUCUUCCGCAAUGGACGAAAGUCUGACGGAGCAACGCCGCGUGAGUGAGGAAGGCCUUCGGGUCGUAAAGCUCUGUUGUGAGGGAAGAAGCGGUACCGUUCGAAUAGGGCGGUGCCUUGACGGUACCUCACCAGAAAGCCACGGCUAACUACGUGCCAGCAGCCGCGGUAAUACGUAGGUGGCAAGCGUUGUCCGGAAUUAUUGGGCGUAAAGCGCGCGCAGGCGGCUUCUUAAGUCUGAU
rnacentral:rRNA from 1 species